UACGUAGGGGGCAAGCGUUGUCCGGAAUCAUUGGGCGUAAAGAGCGUGUAGGCGGCCAGAUAAGUCCGCUGUGAAAUCUCGAGGCUCAACUUCGAGCUGUCGGUGGAAACUUUCUGGCUAGAGUCCGGAAGAGGAGAAUGGAAUUCCUGGUGUAGCGGUGAAAUGCGCAGAUAUCAGGAAGAACACCCGUGGCGAAGGCGGUUCUCUGGGACGGUACUGACGCUGAGACGCGAAAGCGUGGGGAGCGAACAGG
rnacentral:rRNA from 1 species